AUUGAACGCUGGCGGCAGGCUUAACACAUGCAAGUCGAGCGGGGUGAUGGUGCUUGCACUAUCACUUAGCGGCGGACGGGUGAGUAAUGCUUAGGAAUCUGCCUAUUAGUGGGGGACAACAUCUCGAAAGGGAUGCUAAUACCGCAUACGUCCUACGGGAGAAAGCAGGGGAUCACUUGUGACCUUGCGCUAAUAGAUGAGCCUAAGUCGGAUUAGCUAGUUGGUGGGGUAAAGGCCUACCAAGGCGACGAUCUGUAGCGGGUAUGGGAGGGUGGACCGGCACACUGGGUCUGAGACACGGCCCAGACUCCUACGGGAGGCAGCAGUGGGGAAAAUUGGACAAUGGGGGGAACCCUGAUCCAGCCAUGCCGCGUGUGGGAAGAAGGCCUUAUGGUUGUAAAGCACUUUAAGCGAGGAGGAGGCUUACCUAGUUAAUACCUGGGAUAAGUGGACGUUACUCGCAGAAUAAGCACCGGCUAACUCUGUGCCAGCCGCCGCGGUAA
rnacentral:rRNA from 1 species